CUGGCUGCGGAGCGCCGAAGAGGGAAAGGUGCGUUCGAUCCCGGCCAGCGCCUCCGCCCGUGCUGCUGUCCCGGGCAACUGAGGGAAUGCUAUACUACAAGGACCAUCACUACUCAUUGUGUGAUGACCUAGCUUCAAAUUCACAAUUGGUCAGCUUUGAUGAGAACAUCUAUCUUCAGAUUAAGGGUGCUACCAUGGCUAGUUUCGUGGCUACAGUAUACCAACUUGAUUUCUUAAAACAUUGUUUUCUCAGCUGUUGUCAAAAAUUGAUUUCAUUCAAACAUAGGAGUAUCUUUUCUCACAAUCCUACUUCAAGCAUCUAAUGAAGAGAAAUUUAGUUUAUGAAACUUCGUGCCUAACAAAUUUCUUAAAAGAGUUUUUGCCUGCUACUGAGUUUUAGUGCCAUCCAUCCAACCAAUAUCCAUCCAUCUUGGUAUGAAAUCAACUAUCUUCCACUUAAAAUUACUAUAUCAUCUCUGUCAUCUCUAUUUACAAUGGCAGUCACUGGUAUAAUUUUUAAGGCACCAGGCUAGAAACCAGAAGACUGUGAGUUCUAGAUCUGGCUUAGGCAUGAAAGCCUAAGGGUGACUUUGGGCCAGUCGCUCUCUCUCAGCCCAAUUCACCUCAAAGAAUUAUUGUGGGGAAAACAGGAAGAGGAAAGAGUAGUAGACAUGUUCACCACCUAGAGUUAUUUAUAAAAAAUAAUAAAAUAUACAUAAAUAUACGUAAAUAAAUAAGUAGAAAUAGACAUCCCUCCAAAGUAAUGAAUGACCAAAUCUAACAGAUUUUAGAUACCUUAAAGUAGUUGCCCUGAAUUAUGUUGAAAUAAAGGGAAAAAAAUUACUUUAACUCAUAUACAGCAAGUUAUUGCCUAGCUUUGUUUCAUUUAUAUAUGCUGGGCCACGAAGAAGGAAAUGUCAUGAGGACAUAGGAAGGAGAGAGAGAGAGAAGGGGGGGGGAAGAGAGAUUUUGCUGGAACAUAUUUAUGAUGUGGUUAAGUAGAAAGAUAGCAUGAUGGUUCAGCAGUUAGAGGUGUUGAGUUUGUUAGCUAACGGCGAGGGUUCAAGACCCAAGUACCACGCAAUGGGGUGAGCUUCCGUUCCUAUCCCAGCUCCUGCCCACCUAGCAGUUCAAAAGCAUGCAAAUGCGAGUAGAUUAAUAAGUACCACUUCGGUGGGAAGGUAACAGCGUUUUAUGUGCCUUUGGCAUAUAGCUAUACUGUUCACAUGACCAUGGAAAAUAUCUUUGGGUUAACGCUGGCUUCCUCGGCAAUGAGCACCCUUACCUUUUAAGUAGAAGGGGGAAAAGAUUCUCAGUUUAAAUCCCCCUGGGUUUCAAUAAUUUUGAGCCACUACUACUUCGAGCCUAAAACAUUCCACGUUGCUAUGCUCUCUGAUAAAUGAGAUACAAAUUUGCACCACAGCAGAUCUGCUGGCUUCUGAAAGAUCCACCAGCCACUGUGCUGCUUUUGCUGUUAAAAAUAUGAUGAAUUUCCUUUAGAAAGUAUAAUUUAAAUUCAUUGUAAUUUUUACAUUAAUGCAAAAUCUGGUUCUAUGUAUAUGCAGCUUAAUUUUGUAGCUUCAUUAAGAAAUCCCUUUUUAAUGCUGGAGGUGGGAUUCUUGGGCAGGGAGACAAGGAUUCCUUUGUAUAAAGUCACACAUACCCCAACCCCCCUUUUCUCUCCUUUCUCUCCUCUGUUUACAUUGACAUGGUAAUGUCUGGAAUGCAGCUAUUUCCUCUUCUGUUCCCAAUACAAUGCAAAGGGACAAAAGCCAGCAAUUUGCUCACCUCGGGUCAAAGACUAGCUCCUUUGCCUUUCCUUGAACACCAGGAAUCCCUGCUGUAUAUUCCUUCUCACUAACCCAUUAUCUCAGCAGGGGUUAGAGAGCCCCAUGCCUUCCCUUCAGGAGGCCUGCUCCUACAUCAGCACCACUGGAAAGGAAAAAUCUUAACACAGAGACCCACAUAUCUUCCGGUCUUCAGUGUCUUGUCUUUCAAUAGAGUAAAACUGGUGUGACGAGACCGUUACUGAUGGACAACACUUGGAGCCUUGAAAAGCUGAUGCUUGAUUUUCUGACAUAUGGCUGGUGAAAUAGCCUCAGACUUUUUCAUAAUUAAAUUUGAUUGCAUGUGAGAAAAAUGGGAAGGAACCUUAAAUUUUACAUGUGUUUGGUGAAAAAUGAUCUUCAAAGCUUAUCUGGAUAAGUAUUUUACCAAAUGUAUAGGUAAUAUAAGUUAUUAGUGCAGGAUCCAAUCUGGGUUGGUCACCGAGACCAGAGUUUAGUCUUCUGAGCUUUUGGACUUGUGCUGGACCCCAUCCUUAGGGAACUUCUGUCUAGCACAUUCUGCAGCAUUUUCGGAGAUAUGUAUAUUUGCCUUCAUUCGUAAGUUAUUAGUGUUUUAAAAUGGAUUUAUUUUGCAGUAUAACAGACCUUGAUAUAUUUUGCAGUAUAACAGACCUUGAUAUGUGAACAAGGGACAGUAUAAUAACUUUAUUAUCUAUCAUUAUAAAGAUCAUACUACCUGAUUGCCUAGCCUCACAACAUAAGAUACUUGUUGCUGAUAUGAAGAUUAGCGUACACAGAAAUGGUAGUGGCAGGACAAGGGGUCCAGACAAAACUAAGUGGUGGAAACUAUGCAGCCACAAGGCAGCUUUCAUCAACCAUAUUACAUCUCCUCCAAUCACUGAAAGCUUGAUUGAUGCCACAUGGACUGCUGCUCUUGGAGACUGCCUCGAGAAUGACCCUGGGCACUAUGAGACCAGGCCUUCAUCGCACUGACAAGAAACCAUGGCUUUGGACUGAAAAAGGGCAGCAAAAAGUACAGGAAAAGAAGGUGACAUAUAAGAACUGGUAUACACAUAAGAUCAAUUUUGCCCAAACUGGCAAAAUUACCUCAGUGUGAGAAGAAUGGCAAAGAAAAUUAUUCAGGUCAGAGCUGAACACUAUUGCAACUUAGAGAAACAACUGGACAUGAAGAAAUGCAAGCAAAACAUGUCAAGGACAGACAAGGCAUCGAGCACUAUGUAUGUGUGAAAGAUAAAGAUGACAGGCGACUGCGGGACAAAGACAAAAUUCUGGAAUGCUGGCAGCAGCAAUUCAAUGACUAAUAUCAAAUUUGCAUACUUGCCUGAUAGCUUGCCCAAUGCUGGCCCAGUUCCACACAUCUUGCUGGAAGAGGUUACCAAAACUACCCAUGGCAUGAAGAAUUUAAAAGCACGAGGCCUUGAUGACCUACCAGCAAACAUUUGGAAGCUGGAGGAAUUUAGCAGCAAAGCAGCCAAUUGGCUAAUGUACUUCUUCCACACCAUUGUGGACUUUGGAUACGUGCCUGCUGACUGAGCUACAAGCCCCACAGCUCCCCUUUUCAAGAAAGGUGACCCACCAGAUUUCUCUAUCAACCAAUUUGAAUUUGAAUUUGCCUCUUAUCAUACACAAUGAAAAUCUUUGAGCAGAUCCUCAACCAACGCCUACAUGACAUCGUGAAAAUCAGUACUAAUCAAUGCGGUUUUAUCAAAGGUUCUAAUACUGAUGCUAUCUUCACAGCUCACUCAUGGACAAACUCCAAGAAAAGGGGAAGCUAUUACACGUGACUUUCCUUGAAUAGAAUUGCCCAGUUGGAUCUGAUGCUGCAUUUGAUCAUGCAUGACAGUGUUUAUUGAUCCAAAAAGCACCUGUGGGAAUAGCUAUAGGAAGUGGUGAUUAUCUAUCAUUAUAUAAUAUGUUUACGAAGUAAAUCAGUUUAAACUAGUUAACACGAAUCAAAAUUGUUUGCAGAUUCAUAUGUGCCUGCCAUGCUUAAGCACAGAAAAGGCAUCAAUUCCAAUGAAAAGUCACAGAGAUUGGGAGUAAAACAAUGUUUUAACCUUCAUGUAAUAGGGGACAAGCCAAUAAUUUUAAUUUAUUACUACGUUAGAAUUGUCUUUAUUAUAUAAAAGCAUAUUUGCAAAUGAAUGUCUAGUUCACCUAUGUAUCUGCUACUUCCAUACUUUUAUAUUCCCAUGAAUAGAUUAUCAGUUAAAUCACUAUACUGGGUUAUGAAUUAAUGGUGACUGCAAUGAGCCAUGAUAAUAUGUAAACAGGGACUUAUUUAUCAUUAUAUCAUCAUGCAAAUUCCACAAUGCUUGUACUUGUAACAGAUAUUUGGAUGCAAGUAAGGAAGGGCAGGGUUGGUUUGAUGAUGUCACUGCAUGUGUGUCAUACAUUCCACAUUCUCAUGUAUUGCUACAGAUUCCAAUGAUUCACAUUAAUCAGAUAAAGCAGUUUUGGAUUUAUUGACCUAGUCAUAUCAAUAAAAUGGGAGCAGUAGAUUCAUAUAAGGCCAUCUGGUCUGUUGUUUUGAUUAGUAUAAUUAAAGAUACAGGUCUAAAAUAAUAGCUAGCAUGGAGAUUGUUUUUUUCCCCUUUCAAUUGAGUUUAGUCCAAUCCACAUGCAAUAAACCCAGUCUUGACUGCACUCUUCGUAGGGACUCUGAUGAAAUUGAAUCUUCAGUAUACUUCUUAAUGCAUUUUCUGAAGAAAAAUAUAAUGGAAUGUACAGUAUUGGAAUUAAUACUAUUGUCCAAAUAUAAACAAAGGUAAAUAUCUCAUUUAUAUUUUUGGUUGAAGGCUAUUUUUUAAAACCAAUAAAAUAUUAGUUGGAGUAAAACCCAAACAGUUUCAAUCUGAUUUGCCUCCAUAACAGUCUGAGAAUCAGGCUUUUAAUUCUAUAAAGUUGCUUCCUUGUUUUUGAAGGAAGGGGAUUGGCAAAAUGGCCCAGGACUAACAAAAGCUCCUGUAUGUUGUGAAUAGUUAUCACCUAACAAUAGUAGCCAAGAAACAGCUCAGAUUACUUCUCAGGACAUUAAAAGCCCCUGGGCACAGCAUAGAAGAAUGUGGCUGGCACUCAACCUUCCCGCUGUUUUCAAGGACACUGACAGCAGAAGCUGAAAGAAACCCCUUCUUGUAUUCUAACUGUUCUCCCAGAGACACAUGUAUCCAUAGAGCUCCUGCCCAGAUGCAGAGCUGCUGCUGUCUGCAUGGCUUUGAGACAGCAGAUGGCCAGAAGGAUGUCCAAUGUGUGGCAGUGGAAGAGAGAGACAGGGCAGGUGCAGACAAAAUUGCUAAUUAGGCAUGGAACAUUAAACAUGCGUUCUAUAAAGCUGGUAUUCAGUACCUUUUAAAAAAAAAUAGAGCAAACACCCGCAGCAAUCUUGGGAUUUUCUGGCAGCUCCACAAUAAACCAAAUUCUCCUGAAAAGACUAAAGGAUCCCAAAGCAAGGGGCAGAAACAUUUGUUUGGGCAGUGGGGGUUGGGGGGGGAAGCAUUGAGAAGUUUUAUCAUCAACAAACCAGCCUGAUUUCUUUUCUUUUUGAGCUAUAUAAAAAAAAAAAACUUUCAGAAGGAAAGUAAUCAGAAGGAAAAUAUCUCUCCCAGUUAUUUGUUGGGCUCUUGUUGCAACAGUGUACUUGAUUAAUAGCUGAGGGAAAGCCAAUGAUUAGGUUUGAGUAUUUGAAGAGAAAGUGUCUGAUAGCCCUACUUUUUGUGCUGGUCCCCUUCAGCAUUUGUAAAACUUGCUUCAUUAAAAUAUUUAAGCUGUA